rnacentral:ncRNA from 1 species
AAAAAAGGCAAACUUAUUGAAAAAUAAGGACGCAAAGCCACAGGUCUAAAUGUUUUACAUAUGAUGGCUGGGUUACCAA